CGAAGGGGGCUAGCGUUGUUCGGAAUUACUGGGCGUAAAGCGCGUGUAGGCGGUUGUCCAAGUUGGAUGUGAAAGCCUUGAGCUUAACUCAAGAAAUGCAUUCAGGACUGGAUGACUAGAGGACCGGAGAGGAUAGUGGAAUUCCCAGUGUAGUGGUGAAAUACGUAGAGAUUGGGAAGAACACCAGUGGCGAAGGCGGCUAUCUGGACGGUUUCUGACGCUAAGACGCGAAAGCGUGGGGAGCAAACAGGAUUAGAUACCCUGGUAGUCCACGCCGUAAACGAUGGGUGCUAGACGUUGGCGAGCUUGCUCGUCAGUGUCGCAGCUAACGCGUUAAGCACCCCGCCUGGGGAGUACGGCCGCAAGGUUG
rnacentral:rRNA from 1 species